rnacentral:RNase_P_RNA from 2 species
CGAGCCAGUGUCUGUCGCUUGCUUUUUUAGGCAAGAGGAAAGUCCGGACAACGUGAGGAAACACACCACCUAACAGGUGGGUUCCACAAAUGUGUGGAAACAGAAAGUGUCGCAGAAAAUUACCGCCUUUACUUCGGUAAGGGUAAGGGUGAAAAUGUGUGGUAAGAGCGCACAGAACCAUGCAGUAAUGCUGGUUUCGGAUAAACCUUGUGUGUUGAAAUGCCAAAUAAAUCCAUUAACCCGAAAGGGUUCAAUUCCUCAAUUGUGCAAUAUUGCAGAUGGAAGGGUAGGCAGCUAGAAUUCGGCAGUGAUGCCGGAUCCAGAUAAAUGACAGCACAUCCAUUGGAUGACAGAAUCCGGCUUAUACUGGCUUAUUUU